GACGAACGCUGGCGGCGUGCUUAACACAUGCAAGUCGAACGGAAAGGCCCUGCUUUUGUGGGGUGCUCGAGUGGCGAACGGGUGAGUAACACGUGAGUAACCUGCCCUUGACUUUGGGAUAACUUCAGGAAACUGGGGCUAAUACCGGAUAGGAGCUCCUGCUGCAUGGUGGGGGUUGGAAAGUUUCGGCGGUUGGGGAUGGACUCGCGGCUUAUCAGCUUGUUGGUGGGGUAGUGGCUUACCAAGGCUUUGACGGGUAGCCGGCCUGAGAGGGUGACCGGCCACAUUGGGACUGAGAUACGGCCCAGACUCCUACGGGAGGCAGCAGUGGGGAAUAUUGCACAAUGGGCGGAAGCCUGAUGCAGCAACGCCGCGUGCGGGAUGACGGCCUUCGGGUUGUAAACCGCUUUCGCCUGUGACGAAGCGUGAGUGACGGUAAUGGGUAAAGAAGCACCGGCUAACUACGUGCCAGCAGCCGCGGUGAUACGUAGGGUGCGAGCGUUGUCCGGAUUUAUUGGGCGUAAAGGGCUCGUAGGUGGUUGAUCGCGUCGGAAGUGUAAUCUUGGGGCUUAACCCUGAGCGUGCUUUCGAUACGGGUUGACUUGAGGAAGGUAGGGGAGAAUGGAAUUCCUGGUGGAGCGGUGGAAUGCGCAGAUAUCAGGAGGAACACCAGUGGCGAAGGCGGUUCUCUGGGCCUUUCCUGACGCUGAGGAGCGAAAGCGUGGGGAGCGAACAGGCUUAGAUACCCUGGUAGUCCACGCUGUAAACGGUGGGUACUAGGUGUGGGGUCCAUUCCACGGGUUCCGUGCCGUAGCUAACGCUUUAAGUACCCCGCCUGGGGAGUACGGCCGCAAGGCUAAAACUCAAAGGAAUUGACGGGGCCCCGCACAAGCGGCGGAGCAUGCGGAUUAAUUCGAUGCAACGCGUAGAACCUUACCUGGGUUUGACAUGGAUCGGGAGUGCUCAGAGAUGGGUGUGCCUCUUUUGGGGUCGGUUCACAGGUGGUGCAUGGCUGUCGUCAGCUCGUGUCGUGAGAUGUUGGGUUAAGUCCCGCAACGAGCGCAACCCUUGUUCACUGUUGCCAGCACGUUAUGGUGGGGACUCAGUGGAGACCGCCGGGGUCAACUCGGAGGAAGGUGGGGAUGACGUCAAGUCACCAUGCCCCUUAUGUCCAGGGCUUCACGCAUGCUACAAUGGCUGGUACAGAGAGUGGCGAGCCUGUGAGGGUGAGCGAAUCUCGGAAAGCCGGUCUCAGUUCGGAUUGGGGUCUGCAACUCGACCUCAUGAAGUCGGAGUCGCUAGUAAUCGCAGAUCAGCAACGCUGCGGUGAAUACGUUCCCGGG
rnacentral:rRNA from 1 species